UUCCCAUCCCGAACACGGAAGUUAAGUCCUUCAGCGCCGAUGGUACUGCACGGGAAGCUGUGUGGGAGAGUAGGACGCCGCCGAAA
rnacentral:rRNA from 1 species